UAACGAUAGCGUAAAAGUUAAUUGAAAUUUGUGUGGAGUUGGAACGUUUGCCUACGUUUGCCGCUAAGGGCGCAACUGCAUACAAAUUUGAGUUAACUUUUACGGUAUCGA
rnacentral:pre_miRNA from 9 species